CCAGACUCUACGGGAGGCAGCAGUGAGGAAUAUUGGUCAAUGGGCGAGAGCCUGAACCAGCCAAGUCGCGUGAAGGACGACGGUUCUAUGGAUUGUAAACUUCUUUUGUAGAGGAAUAAUGGCAGCUACGCGUAGCUGAGAUGCAUGUACUCUACGAAUAAGUAUCGGCUAACUCCGUGCCAGCAGCCGCGGUAAUACGGAGGAUACGAGCGUUAUCCGGAAUUAUUGGGUUUAAAGGGUGCGUAGGUGGCGUAUUAAGUCAGUGGUGAAAAGCUGCAGCUCAACUGUAGUCUUGCCGUUGAAACUGAUAUGCUAGAGAGGAGACGAGGUAUGCGGAAUGUGUGGUGUAGCGGUGAAAUGCAUAGAUAUCACACAGAACGCCGAUUGCGAAGGCAGCGUACCAGGCUCCGUCUGACACUGAAGCACGAAAGCGUGGGGAUCAAACAGGAUUAGAUACCCUGGUAGUCCACGCAGUAAACGAUGAAUACUAGAUUUUUGCGAUAUAGUGUAAGAGUCUAAGCGAAAGCGAUAAGUAUUCCACCUGGGGAGUACGCCGGCAACGGUGAAACUCAAAGGAAUUGACGGGGGCCCGCACAAG
rnacentral:rRNA from 1 species